GGCGACGCCGGCGGUUCGCCGCCGGUGUUGUUGUGAGAASUCCAUUAAACCUUAUCAUUUAGAGGAAGGAKAAGUCGUAACMMGGUUUCCSUAGGUGAACCUGCGGAAGGAUCAUUG
rnacentral:rRNA from 1 species